rfam:Hordeum vulgare subsp. vulgare, WGS project CAJW01000000 data, contig: morex_contig_54997
CAUAUACUCCCUCCUUCCGGAAUUACUUGUCGCACAAAUGAAUAGAAAUGAAUGUAUCUAGAAUUAAAAUACAUUUAGAUACAUCCAUUCUUGGGACAUGUAUUGCCGGACGGAGGGAGUACUUA